UAAACGACUCUCGGCAACGGAUAUCUCGGCUCUCGCAUCGAUGAAGAACGUAGCGAAAUGCGAUACUUGGUGUGAAUUGCAGAAUCCCGUGAACCAUCGAGUCUUUGAACGCAAGUUGCGCCUGAAGCCUUUUGGCAGAGGGCACGCCUGCCUGGGCGUCACGCA
rnacentral:rRNA from 3 species